rnacentral:tRNA from 1 species
CAUUAGAUGGCUGAAAGCAAGUCUUGGUCUCUUAAACCACUUUAUAGUAAAUUUGUGCCUACUUCUAAUGG